rnacentral:rRNA from 1 species
CCUACGGGAGGCAGCAGUGGGGGAUAUUGCACAAUGGGGGGAACCCUGAUGCAGCGACGCCGCGUGGGUGAAGAAGCGCCUCGGCGCGUAAAGCCCUGUCAGCAGGGAAGAAAAUGACGGUACCUGAAGAAGAAGCCCCGGCUAACUACGUGCCAGCAUCCGCGGUACUACGUAGGGGGCAAGCGUUAUACGGAUUUACUGGGGGUAAAGGGGGCGCAGACGGGGAUGCAAGCCAGGAGUGAAAGCCCGGGGCCCAACCCCGGGACUGCACUUGGAACUGCGUGGCUGGAGUGCAGGUGGGGCAGGCGGAAUUCCUGGUGUAGCGGUGAAAUGCUUAGAUAUCAGGAGGAACACCGGUGGCGAAGGCGGCCUGCUGGACUGCAACUGACGUUGAGGCCCGAAAGCGUGGGGAGCAAACAGGAUUAGAUACCCUUGUAGUC